GUCUAUAUGAAUAAAUUAUAUAGUCCGACCUCCUCACUGAAUAAAAUUUAAAGAGCCGCAGUAUUUUGACUGWGCRARGGNAGNAUAAUMAUUAGUUUUUUAAUUGAGAACUUGUAUGAACGGKUUGAUGAAAAAAAUMCUGUYUCAUUAUUUUAGUUUGAAUUUUACUUUUAAGUGAAAAGGCUUAAAUUAUUUAGAGGGACGAUAAGACCCUAUAAAGCUUAAUAAUAAAAUUUUAUUUUUAUUAUAUAUAAUGAAAGAUAUAAAUAAAAUAAUAUUAUUUUACUGGGGCGGUAAAGAUAAAAUUAAAUUUAACUAUCAAAAAAAUAAACAUUAAUAAAUGAAAAAAUGAUCCUGUAAUGUAGAUUAAAAGAUUAAGUUMCUUUAGGGAUAMCAGCGUAAUUUUUUUUAAAAGUUCAUAUNGAAAAAAAAGUUUGCGMCCUCKAUGUUGAAUUAAAAUAUCUCCAUAGYSCAGCCGCUAUGAAAAGAAGGUCUGUUCGACCUUUAAAUUUUU
rnacentral:rRNA from 1 species